rnacentral:siRNA from 1 species
CAGUUUCUUUGGCUUUCUGAUG